rnacentral:rRNA from 1 species
AUUGAACGCUGGCGGCAGGCCUAACACAUGCAAGUCGAGCGAGCGGCGGACGGGUGAGUAAUGUCUGGGAAACUGCCUGUUGGAGGGGGAUAACUCCUGGAAACGGUUGCUAAUACCGCAUACCCUCACAUCUGCCCCGAUGGGCUUAGCUAGUAGGUGGGGUAACGGCUCACCUAGGCGACGAUCCCUAGCUGGGCUUAGAGGAUGACCAGCCACACUGGAACUGAGACACGGUCCAGACUCCUACGGGAGGCAGCAGUGGGGAAUAUUGCACAAUGGGCGCAAGCCUGAUACAGCCAUGCCGCGUGUAUGAAGAAGGCCUUCGGGUUGUAAAGCACUUUCAGCGGGGAGGCGUGACCCGCAGAAGAAGCACCGGCUAACUCCGUGCCAGCAGCCGCGGUAAUAC